UACAGAGGUCUCAAGCGUUGUUCGGAUUCAUUGGGCGUAAAGGGCGCGUAGGCUGCGGGGCAAGUCGGGUGUGAAAUCUCAGAGCUCAACUCUGAAACUGCACUCGAUACUGCUUUGCUCGAGGACUGGAGAGGAGAUUGGAAUUCACGGUGUAGCAGUGAAAUGCGUAGAUAUCGUGAGGAAGACCAGUGGCGAAGGCGGAUCUCUGGACAGUUCCUGACGCUGAGGCGCGAAGGCCAGGUGAGCAAACGGG
rnacentral:rRNA from 1 species